rnacentral:misc_RNA from 1 species
AGGCAAAUUCAGUGUUGCCAUAGAAUCUAGAAAGCAUGAAGCAAGUCUUCCUAGACCACCGUUUCCAAGUGCUGCAUCUUUUUCCUACAUAUAAUCAUUAGUGGAAUGCAUGUUGGGAAUGAGUACAGGUCAAUGUUUAAGUAAACUUGAAUUAUAAUUAAGAAUCACAGUUUGUUGGUCUGACUUUAACAGGAUAUAUUUUAUUAGACACCUUGAAAUCAGAAUGGGGUCUCUGGUUAUUGAUUGAUGGCCACAUGCCAGCAAGGUGCCAUAACCAUUUGUACAACAGCAAAAAAGAGAAAACCAUUUUGACCAUGACCAACAAUAUGAAAUAAGUUUUCACAAGGACAAGAUUUAACAAAUGAGAAACCAGUUUUCAACUCUUUUUCUUUCACUUUUUUGGAUUUGUGGUUCUCAACCAGUUAUUCUUACUAAGAUAAACAAUAACCCAAGGUAACGGUUAUGAAAUUCUUGUGAUCAGAAUCUACUAAUAAGCAAAGCUUAAUUGCAACACAUAAAGACAAAACAAAAAGAAAAGUACAAGUAAUAUAGUUCCAUGAAAUGGGCUACAACAUGGAUAUAGGCUCUUGAAAACAUGCCUAUAUGCAAAGAAUGCCGCAAUUGGAUUACCUGCUCAACUAUUUCCUCAAGUUCAUGUCCCAACUUACUUAAAGCAUCAGCAUAUGCACCUUGAAUAUUCAGGUUCCCAAUUGCAUUAGUCAAAGCUCGUCCUUGAAGAAAUUCCAUUGAUAAGUGUCUGCUUUGGAUCAACUUUGUG